UACAGAGGGGGCAAGCGUUGUUCGGAAUUACUGGGCGUAAAGGGCGCGUAGGCGGCCGCCUAAGUCAGACGUGAAAUCGCUCGGCUCAACUGGGCGGGGUCAGCGGAUACGGCGUGGCUGGAGCAAGCUAGGGGGCAAUGGAAUUCCCGGUGUAGUGGUGGAAUGCGUAGAUAUCGGGAGGAACACCAGUGGCGAAGGCGGUUGCCUGGAGCUUUGCUGACGCUGAUGCGCGAAAGCGUGGGGAGCGAUCCGG
rnacentral:rRNA from 1 species